rnacentral:rRNA from 1 species
AACGAACGCUGGCGGCGUGCUUAACACAUGCAAGUCGAACGGAUCAAGGGGCUUGCUCCUUGAUUAGUGGCGCACGGGUGAGUAACGCGUGGAUAAUCUGCCCGACGAUCUGGGAUAACAUCUCGAAAGGGGUGCUAAUACCGGAUAAGCCCACGGGGUCUUCGGAUCUUGCGGGAAAAGAGGGGGACCUUCGGGCCUCUUGUCGUCGGAUGAGUCCGCGUACCAUUAGCUAGUUGGCGGGGUAAAGGCCCACCAAGGCUACGAUGGUUAGCUGGUCUGAGAGGAUGAUCAGCCACACUGGAACUGAGACACGGUCCAGACUCCUACGGGAGGCAGCAGUGGGGAAUUUUGCGCAAUGGGGGAAACCCUGACGCAGCAACGCCGCGUGAGUGAUGAAGGCCUUCGGGUCGUAAAGCUCUGUCUAGAGGAAAGAAGUGUGGGGUGGCUAAUAUCCACUUCACUUGACGGUACCUCUGAAGGAAGCACCGGCUAACUCCGUGCCAGCAGCCGCGGUAAUACGGAGGGUGCGAGCGUUGUUCGGAUUUAUUGGGCGUAAAGCGCGUGUAGGCGGUUUCUUAAGUCUGAUGUGAAAGCCCCGGCCUCAACCUGGGAAGUGCAUUGGAUACUGGGAGACUUGAAUACGGGAGAGGGUAGUGGAAUUCCUAGUGUAGGAGUGAAAUCCGUAGAUAUUAGGAGGAACACCGGUGGCGAAGGCGGCUACCUGGACCGAUAUUGACGCUGAGACGCGAAAGCGUGGGUAGCAAACAGGAUUAGAUACCCUGGUAGUCCACGCCGUAAACGAUGAGAACUAGGUGUUGCGGGUAUUGACCCCUGCAGUGCCGCAGCUAACGCAUUAAGUUCUCCGCCUGGGAAGUACGGUCGCAAGACUA